rnacentral:rRNA from 1 species
AGAGCGAACGCUGGCGGCAGGCUUAACACAUGCAAGUCGAGCGCCCCGCAAGGGGAGCGGCAGACGGGUGAGUAACGCGUGGGAACGUACCUUUGGUUCGGAACAACACAGGGAAACUUGUGCUAAUACCGGAUAAGCCCUUACGGGGAAAGAUUUAUCGCCGAAAGAUCGGCCCGCGUCUGAUUAGCUAGUUGGUGAGGUAACGGCUCACCAAGGCGACGAUCAGUAGCUGGUCUGAGAGGAUGAUCAGCCACAUUGGGACUGAGACACGGCCCAAACUCCUACGGGAGGCAGCAGUGGGGAAUAUUGGACAAUGGGCGCAAGCCUGAUCCAGCCAUGCCGCGUGAGUGAUGAAGGCCCUAGGGUUGUAAAGCUCUUUUGUGCGGGAAGAUAAUGACGGUACCGCAAGAAUAAGCCCCGGCUAACUUCGUGCCAGCAGCCGC